rnacentral:lncRNA from 1 species
AUUGCAGUGACUGAUUUUUCUCCUUUAAUGGUUCAGAGAACAGCUCACGCCAACACUCCCCCUCAAGUUGGUACGUAAAUAUCAAUAAGUCCCAACUUGUCUAGUGAGUGAUGGAAUAUUUUACUGCUCACAGCUUUUGUAAGAAUAUCGGCCAGUUGGUCUUCGGAUUUCACAAAAGGGAAUUGGAUAAUCUUUGCAUC